rnacentral:rRNA from 1 species
AUUGAACGCUGGCGGCAGGCCUAACACAUGCAAGUCGAACGAGUGGCGGACGGGUGAGUAAUGUCUGGGAAACUGCCCGAUGGAGGGGGAUAACUACUGGAAACGGUAGCUAAUACCGCAUACCAUCGGAUGUGCCCAGAGGGGAUUAGCUAGUAGGUGGGGUAACGGCGCACCUAGGCGACGAUGCCUAGCUGGUCUGAGAGGAUGACCGGCGAAACUGGAACUGAGACACGGUCCAGACGCCUACGGGCGGCAGAGGUGGGGAAUAGGGCGCAAUGGGCGCAAGGGUGAUGGAGCCAUGCCGCGUGUAUGAGGAAGGCCUUCGGGUUGUAAAGUACUUUCAGUGAGGAGGCGGUACUCGCAGAAGAAGCACCGGCUAACUCCGUGCCAGCAGCCGCGGUAAUAC